UUGAGCCAUUAUAUGCCUUUCCAGUUUGUCAUUGCUUAAAAGCUUAACAUGAGAUUCCCAACAGUUGUUCAUGUUGAGAAUAAUUUACUGACGGCGGUAGCCUGUGUCGAAGUGAAAGAAUUCUUACAGCUUGCAUUCUCACGAUUGCAAAUUAAUCUUUUCCGAUGUGCCAUGUGAAGAUGUCACCCAGAUUUGUUAGUUUUUCAGUUCAGCAUUAUCUUGGGUACCUUGCUUUGUAUUUGGUCAUGACUGCCAAUUCAACCUUAGAUUUAAGUAUCAAAAUCAUCAUAUGAAAUUCUCCUGCAUGUUUGUGUAUUGGUUGGCUAUAUUCUCAGGAACCAUUGGGCAAUGAUUCAAGGUGAUAAUUCUGUUGCCCUUGACAGAGAUAGUCAACCUUUAAUCAGGCAAAUAUACAUGCAGGUUGCCAAGAAGCUAUUUUGGGCCUUAAAAGUAAUUUCAGAGGGUAAUGCCAGCCAUGAACACCAGUUCAAAAAUCCAUUUAGGAUUGGAUUGAUAACUAGUUUGCCCUUGUUCUCCAUUCAAGUCUAUAUUUCAGCACUAAGGUAAUAAACACUCUGGAGCUUCUGCCUUAACCAGUUUGCUUCAAAGGACUUUAUCAAAUCUUUACAUGCCAUGUCCAGUUCUUCUACUUACGAGCAGGGGAUUGGACUAGAUGACCUCCAGAUCCCUUCCAGCCCUGGAUUGCUGUGCUCUUUCAAGGUGUCCUCUGAAGCUGCAUCUAGUGCCAGGGAUGAUGCCAUUACUACAGGAGCCCUGGCAAAGCCACAGCAUCUUUAAGGGAGUGGUAAUGGUUAUGGCAAGGGCACCCAUGUUUUCUCCAAAUAACUUGUUAUUCUGAUUUGAAGAUCUCUG